rnacentral:siRNA from 1 species
UCGAGGUGGUAUCUGUAACUAC